ensembl:lncRNA
GGUUGCUGUUUCUCAUCCUCUAGGGCUGGGCAACUGAGUCUGGGGUGACCUCAGAGACACCCCCUUCCCAGAGGUCUCAGGAACCCAUUAAGAAAGAAAGGAGAGAUUUUCAAGGUGAGAAACGAGAAAUGAUGAGGGGAAGAGGGUACCCUGUGGAGCAGACUGAAAAAAGAAAAUUGUUUCUGGAGUUAGCUGCUGUGGAGGUGUGUGAAAAGGAAAGAGUAACAGCACCAGCCAUUGGCCAUGUGAAGGACAAGAUGAUGGCAUGAUGCCAAAUAGCUGCUACUGGGUGAGCUGAUGUGAAAGAACCAAGAAAAACAUGAUCAGGCAAAGCCCACCAGCUUAUAUCACUGUUGGAAACACCCAUACCUUUUGACUCAUUAACACUAUUCCAAGAAAUUUAUUCUACAGAAAUACUUCAUAUGUACGAAAGUAUUUAUAAAAAAUAUUGAUCACAACAACAUUUGCUUUGAAAGAAAUCACUAUUUUAAUGUCAAGUAAUGGGAAACUGGACAUAAUAUGAAAUAUUAUCAAGGAAUAACUGCUACUGCU